rnacentral:tRNA from 2 species
UGGGAUGUCGGCUAAUGGUAGGCCACAAGAUUCUGGAUCUUGUUAUCAUGGUUCGAGUCCAUGCGUCCCAGCCA